rnacentral:misc_RNA from 1 species
AAAAUAAAAAUCGAUGUGUCGCUUUUGUGACGCUUCGGAAUUGGGUCACCUUGAUCUCUGGGUUAAGAGGCCUAAAAUUGAUACCUUUCCGAGCAUCUUGGACGUACGUAACCUUUCAAGUGCCGGAUCUUUUUACUAGGUAUGACCAUGCUGUGCGUGGCUCUCGUACCCAUAACGUGUAUUCAUA